AGCAGCCGCGGUAAUUCCAGCUCCAAUAGCGUAUAUUAAAGUUGUUGCAGUUAAAAAGCUCGUAGUUGAACUUCAGGCCUGUCCAGAUGGUCCGCCUUAAUUGGUGUGUACUGUCCUUGGGUGGGUCCUACCUUCUGGCGAAGCGGCAUGGCCUUAAUUGGUUGUGUCGGGGAACCAGGACUUUUACUGUGAAAAAAUUAGAGUGUUCAAAGCAGGCAUUAUAUGCUCGAAUACAUUAGCAUGGAAUAAUGGAAUAGGACGAUGGUUCUAUUUUGUUGGUUCUAGGACCGUUGUAAUGAUUAAUAGGGGUAGUUGGGGGCAUUAGUAUUCAAUUGUCAGAGGUGAAAUUCUUGGAUUUAUUGAAGACUAACUACUGCGAAAGCAUUUGCCAAGGAUGUUUUCAUUAAUCAAGAACGAAAGUUAGGGGAUCGAAGACGAUCAGAUACCGUCGUAGUCUUAACCAUAAACUAUGCCGACUAGGAAUCGGGCGAUGUUGACAAAAUGACUCGCUCGGCAA
rnacentral:rRNA from 1 species